rnacentral:rRNA from 1 species
CACCGCAUGGUGGGUGUUGGAAAGAUUUAUCGGUUUUGGAUGGACUCGCGGCCUAUCAGCUUGUUGGUGAGGUAAUGGCUCACCAAGGCGACGACGGGUAGCCGGCCUGAGAGGGUGACCGGCCACACUGGGACUGAGACACGGCCCAGACUCCUACGGGAGGCAGCAGUGGGGAAUAUUGCACAAUGGGCGCAAGCCUGAUGCAGCGACGCCGCGUGAGGGAUGACGGCCUUCGGGUUGUAAACCUCUUUCAGUAGGGAAGAAGCGAAAGUGACGGUACCUGCAGAAGAAGCACCGGCUAACUACGUGCCAGCAGCCGCGGUAAUACGUAGGGUGCGAGCGUUAUCCGGAAUUAUUGGGCGUAAAGAGCUCGUAGGCGGUUUGUCGCGUCUGUCGUGAAAGUCCGGGGCUUAACCCCGGAUCUGCGGUGGGUACGGGCAGACUAGAGUGCAGUAGGGGAGACUGGAAUUCCUGGUGUAGCGGUGGAAUGCGCAGAUAUCAGGAGGAACACCGAUGGCGAAGGCAGGUCUCUGGGCUGUAACUGACGCUGAGGAGCGAAAGCAUGGGGAGCGAACAGGAUUAGAUACCCUGGUAGUCC